GCCGCGGUGCUGUAAUUGGUAGCCAGGCUGGCUUGAGGUGCCAGUGCUCGCAAGAGCGUGGAGGUUCGACCCCUCUCCGCGGCACCA
rnacentral:tRNA from 1 species